GAUGAAGAACGUAGCGAACUGCGAUAAGUAAUGUGAAUUGCAGAAUUCAGUGAAUCAUCGAGUCUUUGAACGCACAUUGCGCCCCCUGGCAUUCCGGGGGACAUGCCUGUCCGAGCGUCAUUGCUGCCCUUCAAGCCCGGCUUGUGUGUUGGGUCGUCGUCCCCCCCGGGGGACGGGCCCGAAAGGCAGCGGCGGCACCGCGUCCGGUCCUCGAGCGUAUGGGGCUUUGUCACCCGCUCGAUUAGGGCCGGCCGGGCGCCAGCCGGCGUCUCCAACCUUCUAUUUUACCAGGUUGACCUCGGAUCAGGUAGGGAUACCCGCUGAACUUAAGCAUAUCAAUAAGCGGAGGA
rnacentral:misc_RNA from 1 species